UACGAAGGGGGCUAGCGUUGCUCGGAAUCACUGGGCGUAAAGCGCACGUAGGCGGAUCUUUAAGUCAGGGGUGAAAUCCCAAGGCUCAACCUUGGAACUGCCUUUGAUACUGGGGAUCUCGAGUCCGGAAGAGGUGAGUGGAACUGCGAGUGUAGAGGUGAAAUUCGUAGAUAUUCGCAAAGAACACCAGUGGCGAAGGCGGCUCACUGGCCCGAUACUGACGCUGAGGUGCGAAAGCGUGGGGAGCAAACAGG
rnacentral:rRNA from 1 species